AAAUCCUUGUCUGCAUCAUCGUUUCGAAUCCCAUGGCGCUCUGUUCAUUCUCCGAUGCUCAGCUGCAGCGUCGUUUAGGGUUGAGAGUGCAUUGAUGUCGGAAAUCCAUUGUGCUGGUGGUCAGAAAUUUGGAAGGGAUUGUUGCUGUUCGCGAAGUUCAGAGAUAUUUGCAGCGAGGAGAAUUUCCUUGUAGAUCAUUGUCCAGGCAGUUGACGGAUACGCAAUAGGGUUGAGACUUGAGUUCUUUUUCUAUUAAUUAAAGAUUUUUUUAUGUUUCCUGUGAUUUUCAAUUUUAGAUUUGUUUUUUAGUUGUUCAUAAGUUAAUUUUUUAUAUGAUUUCGGCAGAGUUCUGUUUAUGAGAGAAAAAUUCUCUUUGGAAGAUUGAAUUCUGGAUUUCCCUGCUGUUGACUAUCCUUGGUUAUAUACCUGGAAUUAUCUAUGCUGUUUUGGGUCAAUACUAAGGACUGAUCCUCUACAUUAGGAAGGAUACCGAGCUGUUGUAUGGAAAGCUUACAAUGGACAAAGCCCAAAGGAAAGAAAUAAUGGGUUAUUAAUUAAUUUACAUUUUAUUUUAAGAUGAUUUUGUUAUUUACCAGUUUGAAUUUGGAAAUAUUUCAAGUAUAGCUUGUGUUCUGUGCAUGUGAGAAGAAAAAUGAUAAGUCGGCUAUGUAUGUAGGAAAUAUAAUGAUUAAGAAU